AUCGCAGUUCCGACGGCAGCCGCCGUUUCGCGACCCACGGCGGACUUGCAUAAACACUUUCUAGUUGGAAUCUCACCCUGUGAGGUGGGCAAGGUAGUGAUAUUCCUGUUUGACGCCGACAGAAAUAAGAGAGAUUGACUCUCAGAACCAUGUGGCGGGAUUUUAAAGGAGGAUCUUAACAGUGGCUCGGACAGACCCGUGUUUUCUGCUCCUAGCAUUAACUACGUCGUUAAACCCUUCUGAAUUUAUUUCGUCUGUGAAAUGGGGAAAAGAUAGCCACCUUGCAUAACUGGUGAAGAAUUCGUAAACUGACAGCAGAAUCUAGUAAGAGGACUGGCCCGUGGUCGGCUCUUAAUGGUGUCACAGAAUAAAGAAAAAGACUGGGAGAGAGAUGGGAGCUGAUAGACCAGAGGAGACCAAAGACUGAAACUGAAGACUAAACCAUGGAAAUUGGGAACAAGCACUUACUCGCUUAGAGGGUGAAAAAAGUGAAUUUGCCUACAGGGCCAAUUUGGAAGCACCUCUCCCUGGAAGCCAGUCAAUGAAGAGCCAUUGGAGGAUUUUAAAUAAGGAACCGAAAAAUGGAGUCUGAAAAUAGAGGCGCAGAGACCGGUUCUUCCCCAAACCAUCAUGGACCAGUUGGACUCUGAGAAGAAAAGUUUCUGAUCUUUAGUUCAUUCUUCCAACUCUCUAGAAAGCAGGAAAACUGAGAAUGAAAAAUUCUAAAUUACUCAGGACUCAUGGGUUGCCAAUAGAAGAAAUACAUCUUAAACUAGCUUAAGCCUGAAAGGGAAAUGUAUUUGUUCAUGUAACUGAACCAUAACGAAGGAUGGUGGACUGAGGGACCUGAAAACACCCUCAGGACUCCCUCCCUCUCCUUUGUGCUCCUGUCUGAUGCCGUCUUCCCAGACCUGCUCACUCUCCAUAAGGUGGGGAUGUGGCCAUCAGCAACGUGUACUUCCCCGAAGCUUGUGACCUGAGUAGAUAGGCAUCUCCCAACCCACAAGGAUUGAAAAGUUCCUCUAGGAAUUAUGUGGAUUGGCCCAUUCACUAUGACAUGUUCCCCCUAAGCAGCUAAAGGAACUGGGUCUGUUACCAGAAGAGGUGGGAGAGGGGUGCUAGGCAGAUUGAACAACAGCCACUACAACAUCUGAGGAGGAGACCUCCGUGAAGGCCACCAAGUCUGCUAGCAGAUAUUUCCUCCCUCGGAUCUCUCUCCCUGUCCUCACAGUCUCAUAAGUGAGGAUUAAAUACUACAUGUGGCCUAGGAGAUCUUAGACCCUCCACACGAAGAUAUAGUAACAAUCAACAUCCUAGUGUUCUGGCAGAGAAAAAAUCAGAAAGAAUCGUUUGCCUGAUUUUUCCAUCAAUACCAAUAAUUAAUUAGAGAUGAAAUUUGUGAUGGACUCAGAGAAUUAGAGAAGAUCUAAGGGAAUCUAGAUGAUUUCCUACCCCUAACCAGAGCCUCACAAAAAAGGGUGAAGAUCUAUGGCCGUCUUGCGUUUGGUGUGAGGCUGGACAAGGAAGUUCCUAAGGUCCUUUAGACUCUGUGAGAUCAUGAGUCCGUAAAACCCUUCCAACUUGAAAUUAGUUGAUUCCUUCCUUAAAUUUUCUGGGACAUUCCCCCACUCCCUCCACUCUUAUUAGCUGAUUUUACUGACCAAUAGGCCUUGAAGUUGGGCGUUCCAUCUAGAUGUCUCACAUCAACUCACCUUUUGCAAAUUAAGCCCAUACCCUUAAAGAGGGGAAUUCUCAAGCCAUUAGAAACUAGAGAGUCAGCUGGGCAUGGUGGCUCACGCCUGUAAUCCCAGAACUUUGGGAGGCCAAGGUGGGUGGAUCACUUGAGGUCAGGAGUUCGAGUCCAGCCUGACCAACAUGGCGAAACCCCGUCUCUACUAAAAAUACAAAAAUUAGCCAGGGGUGAUGGCAUGCACCUGUAAUCCCAGCUACUCAGGAGGCUGAGGCAGGAGAAUUGCUUGAACCUGGGAGGCGGAGGUUGCAGUGAGCCAAGUUUGCACCACAGCACUCCAGCCUGGGCAACAGAGUGAGACUCAGUUUCAAAAAACAAAAGAACAAACAAACAAAAACUAGAGGGUCUCCUCUUAGUUCUUAAACCCUCUUAGUCAACAUUUGUGAGCCUCUUUUCUGUAUGUUUUGGCAUCUUUAUUCCUUUCCUUCGUGUCUUGACCAAAUUCACCAGAUCAUGACUCAGAACAAAAUCCUGAGGUUGAAUAUAGAGGUCUAGAACAUCUUCAAAUUAACUGUUUCUCCUCAUAGAGAAUUAAAGAAAUUGAGAAAGCAA
rnacentral:lncRNA from 1 species